UACAGAGGGGGCAAGCGUUGUUCGGAAUUACUGGGCGUAAAGGGCGCGUAGGCGGCCCGCUAAGUCGAACGUGAAAUCCCCAGGCUCAACCUGGGAACUGCGUCCGAUACUGGCAGGCUUGAAUCCGGGAGAGGGAUGUGGAAUUCCAGGUGUAGCGGUGAAAUGCGUAGAUAUCGAGAGGAACACCUGCGGCGAAGGCGGGUUGCUGGGCCGACACUGACGCUGAUGCGCGAAAGCCAGGGGAGCGAACGGG
rnacentral:rRNA from 1 species